CCAUUUCAUUGAAACCUAAAAAUAGAAAAGGGUGAGAGGAGUGAGGGACGCUCUGCCUAGGGUUUUUGCGUGCAGCCUCCCUCCACGAACGUCGACGGCGCGGCGAACGCUACUAUGGCAUCGUCAUGGCUAAGGUGGACGGCCGGAUAUGCAGAGGGAAGGAGGAGAUAGCUAAACAGGGAAACGAAGAAAGGGAGAGGCUGGUGGCUGCCACCAGAAAUCGUUUCCGACGGUGGCGUGCAGUUCGUCUCGGUCGAGCAUAGUAAAGGUCCACGAAAAAGGCUAAAGGCCGACGAUGCCGCCAGCGGAAAUCGCCUCCAACAGCGCCGCGCGGCGGUACACGGCGACAUUCGCGGUGGCCGGAAAUCACCUCCGGCAGCGGUGCAUAAUGGUGUUCACGGGAAGCACCAUUUUUUGCUAAUGCUUUUGGAAGCAUAUAUGGCAGGAGAAUGCUCUUGGGGACAUGUUGGUGGCUAGGGCAGAGGAGCUCAAGAAGCUUGUUGGAGGAGAAAUAAUCCUACAGUAAAGUGUAGGAUAGGGGUGUUCAAAAAAAUCAAAAGAACCGAACUGGAUUUAAAAUUGUACUGUACCAUUUUAAAAAAACUAGAACCAAUUGUAAAAAAAAAAAGGACUAGAUAUAUAUUUUUAAAUAUAAGUUUAAAAUCCGAACCUAUUUUUUAAGAGGGUCGGUUCACUUAAAACUAAAAGAACCGAACUGGAUUUAAACUGUACUGUACCACUGGUGCUUUCGCGUCAGGCAUUGUUUUCGCUGUUGUCGGGGAUGAUGGUUCUGUUUGGGUGUGGGGGAAGUCAAAACGCGGUCAACUCCCUUGGCAAACAUGUCACUGAGGCUAUUGUGCCUACCAAAAUGGAAGCACUUUCUGGAGAGAACGUAGCCAAGGUUUCGUUUGGAUGGGGGCAUGCUCUUUGCUCGAACUUCGGAUGGAAAGUUGCUCGAACCUAAUUGUUUAAAGCUGGUACAUUUCUUAAAAUUAGUUAAAAUCAGUUUAUUUCUUAAAAUCAGUUUUAAAAACUGGUUUGGUUUUGAAACUGGUUUUAAACCGAUUAUAAACCUGUUUAUUAAAAUAAUUCAGUUUUAAAUCGAUUUAUUAAAGUGGUUCAAAUGGUUUAUAAACUGGUUCAAUUUAAUAAAAUGGUGUGGUUCGGUUCAAUGUGGUUUUUUGGAAAAACCAAACCAUGCACACUCUUAGUGUAGGAUGGCAGAGAUCUUGGGUGCAGAGGAAAAGAUUGUUUUGUUAUUUUCUUGUCUUUUUCUGAUUUUCUUUUAUAUUUUUUUUAUUUAUUAUUUAUGCUUAUUGUGUGUAUUUUUUGAGUUUAAAUCUAGUUUGUAAAUUAUUUGUUCUUGGAUUAUUAAUUUGAAAAUUUUGGGAAAUAAAUUAGUAGAAAAAUUAGUAGGAUAAAAAAUUGGUGUUUACAGU